CAUUCUUACAUCAGGACUCCUCCCCGCACCCCUACUCUUCCCACCCCUCCCCUGUCCCUAACUCCCGCUCCCCGCCAGACCUGGGCCUUUUCCUUAAAGCCACAGUCGCUCACUUCUGUACCGGCGGGAGCCCCCAACGCGCUACACCGCCACCUGGGUGUAGCGGGGUCCCCGCCUCUCCCUGGCCCCGCAAGCGGCAGCUCUCUUUCCAGUUCCGGGCUUUAAAAAUGGAAAUAUGUUUGAAAGUAAAGAAACGCGCGCAGGCACGCACGCACACACACACACACACACACACACACCACGCCGUGCAAAAAACAACAGGAUUAAAGGAAGGGGGUGGCCCUGGAAAUUGGUGGUUUCGUUGCAAAAAAAAAAACAACCACCCUAGGUCCCGCUGACUCUCACCUCUUUCUCAUUCCAGCCACAUUCCCUCCUGACGCGCCCACUCGGGGCGUGCACUCGACCUUCCCGGUCCCCUGGCGCAAGGUCAGGGAACAGGGACCAAGGUCCCGGGGCAGACGGGUCGGUCGCGGACCUGGAACGCCCAGCUAGCCCGGACGUCCCCGCUAUCCCUCCUUCCCGCGCUCCCCACCCCCGCCGGCCUCCUCCCCCUGAGCCGCGCGAGUUCGCGCCAGAGUCGCAGUGCUGCCGGGCACCCAGUGUCCCCGCGCACGGACACCUCCGCCGGCGCGCUGCGAGCAGAAAAGCUAAACUUGUUGCUUCCAAAGGCGAGAGAGCAGUUCUUCUGAAGGUGGCAGAAAGCUUGAAAAGCAUCUCCAUGGCGUCCUCUGGGCUUUACUUGCUAAGCCAGGGGCAGCACGAGACCCUGUGCUCCGGCUUCGGUAAUGCCGAGGAAGGUCCUGCAUCCCAGACCCAGUCUUGCCACUUGUCACAGGCACAGCAGUUGUGGAGACGAGAGUGGAAACGGCCGUGGAGAAGUCCGUGGCCAGAGGAGCCUCGCCGGAGUCCGCAGCGCUGCAGGGCAGGUCCGAAUGGAGCUUGACCCUCUGAACGUGGUAACAUACCGAGGUCAUUUGCAGUGGGAACGUACUACACUGGACGGGUGAAUUCUGACACUGAAGUCCCACAAAUUAAAAUAAAUUGAUAAUGUUUUUAAAUGGUCUUUCA